ACUUUACAAUGCGGGACACCGCGAUAAGGGGACCUCGAGUGCUGGCAUACAAUGCUGGCUGUCCAGCUGCCUAAAUAGCAGUUGAUAGCAAGGGCCGGGCAAGACCGGUGCCAGCCGCCGCGGUAACACCGGCGGCUCGAGUGGUAACCGCUAUUAUUGGGUCUAAAGGGUCUGUAGCCUGCAGGUUAAGUCUCUUGGUAAAUCCGGCAGCUCAACUGUCGGGGUUCAGGGGAUACUGGUCUGCUCGGGACCGGGAGAGGUGAGAGGUACCUCAGGGGUAGGGGUGAAAUCUUGUAAUCCUUGAAGGACCACCAGUGGCGAAGGCGUCUCACCAGAACGGACCUGACGGCAAGGGACGAAAGCUAGGGGCACGAACCGG
rnacentral:rRNA from 1 species